rnacentral:rRNA from 1 species
UACAGAGGGUGCGAGCGUUAAUCGGAAUCACUGGGCGUAAAGGGUGCGUAGGCGGGUCUUUAAGUCAGGGGGGAAAUCCUGGAGCUCAACUCCAGAACUGCCUUUGAUACUGAAGAUCUUGAGUUCGGGAGAGGUGAGUGGAACUGCGAGUGUAGAGGUGAAAUUCGUAGAUAUUCGCAAGAACACCAGUGGCGAAGGCGGCUCACUGGCCCGAUAUUGACGCUGAGGCACGAAAGCGUGGGGAGCAAACAGG